ensembl:lncRNA
AUGGGGCGGGGGGUGGUUCUUUCAGAGGCUGGGAGUGCCUGCUCACUGCCUCUUCCUGGUGCACUGCUUGGAGUUAGAACUUCUGAGGAAAAGAGCCUGGUGGUCUCUCUUCCCCCUUGUGGAAUAUCCUUGAAGCAGCCUUUCACUUGCAUGUUGCCCCAGGUGCCCUUGGCUGUAGAAGUUUCUUCCUCCUUUCUCAGAAGAGAAAGAUCUUUCAUCUGGAACAGUGAGGGUGGCCUUUGGCAGCACAGAGAGGGGAGAAUGGACAACACAGUACAUCACAAUGGGACACGGGCGACCUGCCUCCACUCCCUCUGCUCGGAACUUCCGCAGAAGCAGCAGGACAAUGAAGGGAGAGGAAAGGAGACAGACUCAGACUCAGCCCUCAGAUGGAAGAUUCAGUUCUUCCUCCGGCUCUUGCUGCCCUGUGCCUAGUUCCCUACCUGGACGGAGAGAGCCUUGAGAUAUAGCCUGCCUGAAUCUGUGAAUG